UACAGAGGGUGCGAGCGUUGUCCGGAAUCACUGGGCGUAAAGAGCGUGUAGGCGGCCCGACCAGUCCGCUGUGAAAGUCCAGGGCUCAACCCUGGAAUGCCGGUGGAUACUGUCGGGCUAGAGUCCGGAAUGGGCGAGUGGAAUUCCUGGUGUAGCGGUGAAAUGCGCAGAUAUCAGGAGGAACACCAAUGGCGAAGGCAGCUCGCUGGGACGUGACUGACGCUGAGACGCGAAAGCGUGGGGAGCAAACAGG
rnacentral:rRNA from 1 species